rnacentral:rRNA from 1 species
GCGCGAAAACUUUACAAUGCUGGCAACAGCGAUAAGGGAACCUCGAGUGCCAGGUUACAAAUCUGGCUGUCGAGAUGCCUAAAAAGCAUUUCAUAGCAAGGGCCGGGCAAGACCGGUGCCAGCCGCCGCGGUAACACCGGCGGCUCGAGUGGUAACCGUUAUUAUUGGGUCUAAAGGGUCUGUAGCCGGCCGGAUAAGUCUCUUGAGAAAUCUGGCAGCUUAACUGUCAGGCUUUCAGGAGAUACUGUCUGGCUCGAGGCCGGGAGAGGUGAGAGGUACUUCAGGGGUAGGGUGAAAUCUUGUAAUCCUUGAAGGACCACCAGUGGCGAAGGCGUCUCACCAGAACGGACCUGACGGCAAGGGACGAAAGCUAGGGGCACGAACCGGAUUAGAAACCCCGGU